UGCAUCAGCCGGGAAUCGAACCCGGGCCACCCGCGUGGCAGGCGAGCAUUCUACCACUGAACCACCGAUGG
rnacentral:tRNA from 1 species